GAGGAAGGAGAAGUCGUAACAAGGUUUCCGUAGGUGAACCUGCGGAAGGAUCAUUGUCGAAACCUGCCCAGCAGAACGACCCGCGAACUCGUACAACGUUCGGGGGGCGRAGGGGGGCGCAGGCCUCUCUUUUCCCCCCCUCGUCGGGACGCGCCCGGUGCUGCUCCGCUCCCCGCACUCUGUGCGCGGGAAGCGUCGGUGCCGGCGUGCUCCCGAUCUCACAACGAACCCCGGCGCAAAUCGCGCCAAGGAACUGAAAAACGCAAGAGCAUGCCCCUGCUGCCCCGGUCUCGGGGCGUGCGGGAGGCAAUGUCAUCUUCGAUAUCUUAACGACUCUCGGCAACGGAUAUCUCGGCUCUCGCAUCGAUGAAGAACGUAGCGAAAUGCGAUACUUGGUGUGAAUUGCAGAAUCCCGUGAACCAUCGAGUCUUUGAACGCAAGUUGCGCCCAAAGCCAUUAGGCCGAGGGCACGUCUGCCUGGGCGUCACGUAUUGCGUCGCCCCCAAACCCCGCACACGCUCACCGUGCGUGCGGGGCUUUGCGCGGAGCGGAGAUUGGCCUCCCGUGCUCUCUUGUCGCGGUUGGCCUAAAAGCGAGCCCCGAGCGACGAACGUCACGACAAGUGGUGGUUAAAAAGCCCCGACCUCAGCAGUGUCGUGUCGUGCGUUGGCCCGUCGCCCGCGCGAGCUGAUUAGACCCCGACGCAUCGUCCCGACGAUGCUUCCAUCGCGACCCCAGGUCAGGCGGGACUACCCGCUGAGUUUAAGCAUAUCAU
rnacentral:misc_RNA from 1 species